rnacentral:tRNA from 1 species
GCCUGGGUGGCUCAGUCGGUUGAGCGUCCGACUUCGGCUAGGGUCAUGAUCUCGCGGUUCGUGAGUUCGAGCCCCACAUCAGGCU